UAGUAGCGGCGAGCGAAACGGGAAGAGCCCAAACCAACAAGCUUGCUUGUUGGGGUUGUAGGACACUCUGUACGGAGUUACAAAGGACGACAUUAGACGAAUCAUCUGGAAAGAUGAAUCAAAGAAGGUAAUAAUCCUGUAGUCGAAAAUGUUGUCUCUCUUGAGUGGAUCCUGAGUACGACGGAGCACGUGAAAUUCCGUCGGAAUCUGGGAGGACCAUCUCCUAAGGCUAAAUACUCUCUAGUGACCGAUAGUGAACCAGUACCGUGAGGGAAAGGUGAAAAGCACCCCGGAAGGGGAGUGAAAUAGAACCUGAAACCGUGUGCUUACAAGUAGUCAGAGCCCGUUAAUGGGUGAUGGCGUGCCUUUUGUAGAAUGAACCGGCGAGUUACGAUUUGAUGCAAGGUUAAGCAGUAAAUGUGGAGCCGUAGCGAAAGCGAGUCUGAAUAGGGCGUUUAGUAUUUGG
rnacentral:rRNA from 1 species